CCAAACUCUUCACUAGUGGUAGCAGAAGAUGCUCAAGCAGCCUUUUUGCAGUGAUGAUGGUGGAUACUCAAUGGACAGCUGACGGACUAUUUGCAAGCUGACAGCCGGCACUGAAAACUUGAGUCAUUGGCCUUUUGACUGGCACAACUGUCAGAGUUGAUAAAGUAUUCUAUUUGUUGGUACCACCAAAACGUGUGCAAGCAUUGACAAGACUGAUCUGUAUGCCUAAAGCAACCUACAUGUCAGUGUGCUUUUAGGAGCAAGAUUGAUUGAGUGAGGACAUUGGAAGAAACCUUCAGUCACAAGGCUUCCAGGAGUCAGCAACUAGAGCAAUAUUAUGAUGGUCUUGUCAGUCAGUUAAAUUCAGAGACUCAUCUGUAUCCAGGAUGGGAGGCCCAGGCCUUUGUUUCCACUGGAAAUUCAAUCAUGCAUGUAACAUUCCGGGUGUUGCUGGAUGUAAACUGUGAAGCUGUUAGGGACAUUAGAUAGACACUUGUAUACACAGUUCACUAGCUUCUCUGUAUAGUCUUUCUGAAUCCUCAAUGAUGCCAUAUAAAUUCAAAAUUAGCUUCUUUGAAUUUUACAGUAGCUUGUCUACGCUUUUUCCAGGUGAACUAAUAAAUGCAUGAAAAUAACCCUGUACAGGCUGGAACUGGGUCAGCGUACAUUAAUACCAGUAACCUGCAGAAAAAAGUUCCUGUUACAAAAUCCAGGAAAAAAUAAAUCUUUACUGCAAAGCAAGCAGCAAAUAA